rnacentral:ncRNA from 1 species
AUCUUAUCCCGUGGUGAUUUGGCCGGUCGGCUUGCAGCCACGUUAAAUAAUUGGCUAAAUAGACCGGGCGCAAGCAACC